rnacentral:lncRNA from 1 species
GGGCUGGCUCACUGGGUACUGUCUCUAUACCAGCUGAUGACAGGUCACUCUCUUGGUUUCAGGUGCUCUGCUGCAGGAAGAGAGGCUAGAUGCGGUGACUCUGCUGUACGCCACUUCUUUGCCCAGUUUCUGCCUGCUGGCAGGCGCCGCGCUGGUGCUGGAGGCUGGUGCCGCCCCACCGCUGCCUCCCACCGACUCUCGCCUCUGGGCCUGCGUCCUGCUCAGCUGCUUCUUGUCUGUAGUCUACAACCUGGCCAGCUUCUCCUUGCUGGCACUCACAUCUGCCCUCACCGUCCACGUACUGGGCAACCUCACAGUUGUGGGUAACCUCAUCCUGUCCCGGCUCCUGUUCGGCAGCCACCUCAGCGCUCUCAGCUAUGUGGGCAUCGCUCUCACCCUUUCAGGAAUGUUUCUUUAUCACAACUGUGAGUCUGUGGCCUCCUGGGCUACCCGCCGGGGGUUGUGGAACAGGGACCAGCCUGGCAAAGGUCUUUGAGACCUGGGAGAGCUCAUGAACUAGACCCGGACAGCCAGCCCCAGCCUGAAUCUAACCUUGGACAGUGGCCAUGACAGAGGCCAGGGCAGGGGAAGAAGGUACCUUCUGGAAGGGCUGCCUGGGAGGCUACACCAGGGAUCUCAGAGAGACCCACCUCCUGUCCCUGCCUUCCUCACGACUCACAGCAAACCCUGCCAUUGGAUGGUGGGUCCAAGUCUGGCACAUGCGCCUGUCAGAUGGAUUGGUGUCAGUGACUAUGAUGAAGAUUGCUGGGCAAACUUAGGAAAACCUCAAAGUGUUAUGAGGAAGACAUUGCCCGGCGGUUGCACAGUCUUUCCUGGGGGCAGGAUGUGAGGGUCACCAGAGAAGGCUUCUUCAUGGCUGGGCUCCCCUAAAGAUGGGGUAGUCUAUGCCAACUUCAGGUAGCUACUGCAGCCUCACUCUGGUGCCUCCCCUGGAUUUGGGUCUUCCAUCCCCAAUAAAGUAUUUUUUCUUGGGA